CUUUUCUUCCUUAAUAUUAUAAUCCUCUCUAAUAAGCAUAUCAUAUAUUCAAUGACAAAAAAGGAUGGAAACCUGUGAAGCAACUGGAAUUUGGAUUUCUUUAAAGCCAAGUAAUGAAAGUGGGUUUCUCAUGAUUAAUGCAACCACACACUGAUGAAAACUACUCUUUUAUAUAUUAUGUAAAAAACAGAUGUAUGCCAACAAAUUAAACCUCCUUUUCCUAUCAUCUCAAUUUUGAUCACUUCACUUGAACGGUAAAUUAUGCUACCUGGCUGCUUCUUCUUCUUCUUCCUUUUCGUCGCACUUCAGGUACCGGAUGUUUCAUUUUCGUCGCAUUGUACGUCUGAAACAGUAUCUAAAACUUUCGAAAAAUGCAUGACACUUCCUACUCAACAAGCCUCAAUCUCGUGGACUUUCCAUCCUCAAAACGCCACCCUCGAUCUCGUCUUCUUUGGUAGCUUCAUAUCUCCUUCAGGCUGGGUUGGGUUCGGGAUUAAUCCGAUUUCUCCUGAAAUGACAGGAACGCGAGCUUUGAUCGCUUUCCCGGACCCCAACUCGGGCCAACUAGUCCUGCUACCUUACAUUCUAGAUCCCACAGUGAAACUCCAACGAACACCGCUCCUUUCCCGCCCCCUUGACAUCCACCUCCUCUCCUCCUCCGCCACCUUAUAUGGUGGUCGUAUGGCCACCAUACACGACGGUGCAACUAUUCAAAUAUAUGCCACUUUCAAACUCGUCCCCAAUAAAACGAAGAUUCAUUAUGUAUGGAACCGCGGAUUAUAUGUUCAAGGUUACUCCCCAACUAUACAUCAAACUGCAAUCAAUGAUCUUUCGUCCAUAACCACAAUUGAUGUCCUGUCUGCAACUACGGCCAAGGCACAAAACAAUAAUAUCAGGACACUAAAAAUCAUUCAUGGCAUCAUAAACGCGAUUUCUUGGGGAAUGUUACUUCCAAUAGGGGCCGUAACUGCGCGAUAUUUAAGACAUAUACAAACUUUAGGCCCUACAUGGUUUUAUGCACAUGCUGGAGUUCAACUUUUUGCAGUUUUCUUAGGAACUGUAGGAUUUUCUAUUGGAAUUAGGCUAGGGGAGUUGUCUCCUGGACGGGUUUACGGGCUUCAUCAGAAACUCGGUUACGCAACAUUCUGCCUCGGGUGGCUUCAAACACUGGCUCUUUUGUUUAGGCCUAAAACAACAAACAAAUUCAGGAAGUAUUGGAAAUCGUACCAUCAUUUUGUCGGGUAUGCUUGUGUAGUAUUGGGUGUCGUUAACUGUUUUCAGGGAUUCCAAGUGAUGGGAGAAAGCAGGUCUUAUGCUAUGUUGGCAUACUGUUUGUGCUUGUCUACUCUCAUUGGCAUUUGCAUUGCACUGGAAGUGAAUUCUUGGGUUAUUUUCUGUAGAAAAUCCAAGGAAGAUAAAUUAAGGAGAGAAGGACGAAUUGGAAUUGGAAGUUCUGAGAAAGGCAGCGGAUCAGGUCAUGGUUGACAGCCUAUUCUUAAAUUUACUUUUUUAGAAAUGAGAACAAGACGGGAUUUACUUUCCAGAAAAAGGUGGAGUUUUGAAAAUCAUAUAUUUGAUAUUGUAAGUAAUUUUGGUCGAUCAUAUAUGUACAGAAUGUGUAAUAUGCAGCACAUAUUCUGUCUUUUAGCUUUCGCAACGUUCACAGCAGUUUUGUUCAAUAGAAUGAAAUUCUGCAAUGCUAGAUGAAGUAAAGUUAUGCAGCUUUGUAUUAAUUUCCAGUGAAAGCCCCAUCGAGCUGGGAGCUUGCCUAACACCAUUUUCUAGGGAAAAUUUAACGUGCGGUCACUAAAGUUUGGAGAAAUCUCAAUUGGGUCAGUAAAUUUUAAUUUGUUUCAAUUGGAUCACUAAAUUUCAGUUCAAAUUCUGUCACCACUGAUCUCCUAAAUUGAUGAAAUUUCUUACUUUUACAAGGGCGUCCUCAAAUGAGAUCUUAAUAAAUUUUUAAAAAUUAUAAAUCUUAUAGAAUUUCUUGAAUUUGAAUAGAUUUUCAUAGAAUCUAUUGACCUCGUCUUUGUAGGGAAACGUAGCCAACAUAUCCCAGCCUUGUUCUUGCACCCUUGGAUAAACUAUCAGUCACACAAACCUUUUUCGAUGGUGGAGGAUGUAACCACCUGCACUUCAACAAUCAAGUAAAUCAAUGUAUAGGUGUACGUGUGUAUGAUGUGCUAAAGACAUGAACCACUAGGUGUUGAGGGGCUGGAUUUAUGAAGGUAUGAGAUUAAUAUAUAUUGAAAUCAAACUUGUAGCUUUGAAGUCUAAAGUUGCAUUACUUUCAUAUGGUAUUAAGUGUGAGCUUUUAUAGUAUAAGAAAUGUGCUAUUGAUAGUUGGUUGGAAAGACGUGGUCUCAUCCUAAUGGUCGAGAAAUCAUCUCCUACAUGUCAAUCCAUACAUUAUAGGUCUGGCCUUAAGAUUGUAAGAAGAUUUUGUCUGAAAGAUCUCUUGGAAAGAUGUGAAGUGGGAGAUUAAUUGCCUCGCACUUCUUCCCUACAGCAUGCGUGGCACUUUGCCUAUGCCAUGAAGGUCGACAUCUACAUGGCACUUCGACUAAAGUGAUUAUUACCUCAGCUAUCUUGUAUGUAACCUUACCUCAGCUAUCUUGUAUGUAACAUCACCUCAACUAGGUAGGAGGAUGAUUUAGAGUUUGGGCAUGGUUGACUUGCUAUCUGGUAGAAUUGGUCUAGAGCCUCGUCCAAAGAGGAGUUAUAGAAUCUAUAAAAAUCUCAUUAAAAUAAGAAAAUUCAAAAAAAAAAAUUAAACUUAAAAUCCGUCUAAAUUUCUUGAAAUCAUUAUUGAAAUUCUUAUAAAUCCACAAGUUAUUUAGGAUGCCAAAAUUUUAAAGGAUUUCAUUGAAAUACAUUAAAAUCUCAGUUGAGUAUUCCUAGAUUUUGAAGGAAUUUAAUAAAAUUCAUUUAAAAUCUCAAUUCGGGAUACCGGAAUCUAGAAAAACUUUUAAAAUCAAUUAAAAUUUUAAUUGAGGGCACCAUAGCAAAUGUCCCAUAUGAUCGCUUUGUGGUAUGUCAAAUAACUAUUGCGUCAACCUUUUAGUCUAGAAAUAUUGUCGUACUCUCAUUUUGCAAUUUACAUUUCUAGUUUAGCACAUAGUAAUUACUUGAAAGAUCCAUUGUAUUUUAAAAACCAAGCAAUAUAAGUCAGCUUUCGGAAAAUAGGUCACCGAAUAUGAUAAAUAAAAAUAAUAAAUUUGACACAAAAUUUAGAUAAAUUAAAGUUUAGUUAACCUAUUGAUAUUUUAUUGAAGAUUAUGUGAAAGCUAAAGAAAUUUACCCUAAAUUUGUGGUGAAAAAGAAAAGAUUCACAUUGUGGGGAAAGAUAGCCCAGCCCAACAAAUGACCCAAAUGCAAAUUCAACUUAUUAUGAAAUUUACAUUUACAUUUUGUCACGCUAACUUCAUCUCGCGACUUACCAUAUUUUAGAGCACUGCAUUGUAAAUUUACCUACUUCGCUUGUCUCCAAAUAAGUAUUAGAGCUACAAUAACAACCAAAAAACAUAUUUGUAAAUAGAUUGACUCAAUAUUUAUACCCUAUUGAAGGAGCCAUGGCACAUAUGUUUGGAAUAGAUUCUAUUUUAUGAGAGUUGAAAAAACAUUAUCUCUUCUAUACAUCUACCCUUUCUCAAAGCAUUUCUUCAGAUAAAAACUCCAUUUCUUCCUCUCUUCGAAUGGUAAAUAAUUAUCAGUUAAUGGAAUGUAAAUCAAACCCAUGUUUGAAUUCUUAUCAAUUCAAAUGAAUCCAGUUAAAAUUAGAUUUAGAUAGGGAGAGAAAAGNNNNNNNNNNNNNNNNNNNNNNNNNNNNNNNNNNNNNNNNNNNNNNNNNNNNNNNNNNNNNNNNNNNNNUUGAUCAUUUGUAUAUGGAAGGCAUGUUCUAUCCACUUUGACGAGUUAGGGGACCCCCUUUGGGAUCCAGCUCUUCAUCAAAGCAUCCACACUUCCCAGAAUGGUAGAUAAUUCAUCCAUGCAAAGGCUUCUCCCAUGACCAUUUGUACAUGGGAGGCAUGUGAUAUCCGCUUUGACGAGUUAGAAGGUGGUCCUCUUUGUGUUCUAGCUCUUCGUCGAAGCGCCCAUGCUUCCUUGCGUAGUGAAUGACUCAUCCAUACAAAGGCUUCUCCCAUGACCAUUUGUACAUGGGAGAAAUGUGUUAUCCGCUUUGACGAUCCUUAGGAGCCAGUUCUUCAUCGAAGCGCUCACACUUCCUUGCAUAGUGGAUGAUUCAUCCAUAUUGAGGCCUUCUCCCAUGAUCAUUUAUACAUAGGAGGCAUGUGCUAUCUGCUUUAACGAGUUAGGAGGUGGUCCCUUUAAGGAUCCAACACUUCUACGCUUCCCUGCAUGGUAGAUAGGUCAUCUGUGCAGAGGCUUCUCCUAUGAGGAGGCAUGUGUUAUUCUCUUUGACGAGCUAGGAGACGGUCCCCUUUCAAAUCCAGCUCUUCGUCAAAAUGCCCAUACUUCCCUGCAUGGUGAAUGGUUCAUCCGUGCAGAGGCUUCUCCCAUGACUAUUUGUACAUGGGAGGCAUGUGAUAUCAACCUUAAAAAAUUUGGACUCAAAGCACCUAUAUUUUCCUGCAUGGUGGAUGGUUCAUCCAUGCAGGGGAUAAUAUAAACUCUCUUAAUAUAAAUGCAGUUGUAAUGAAACAUUUCGUAUGGUAAGGCAUCUCGCUGAGCGAGGCAUAAAUAUAAGGUUAGUGACUAUCUUAAACUAUAUGUGACAUGUAAGCUGGCCUCAAGUGGACGAGAAAUAAGCAUCUAGCGAGGGGGGGGGGAAAUCUCACAUAUAGCUCUCAAACUAUCGGAGUUUCUCAGAAUGACAAUAUCUUACAGCUAGGCUCGACAAUAAUGAGAAGAGAAGAAUAAACACUCGCAAAGCUAUGAAUGAAACCUUAUAUUAUGAGCCUGAAGCAUAGGCAAGGAUGAUGCGCGUUACAUGCUGAGGCACUAAAGCAUAGGCAAAAUAUGAGGCCUUGUAUGCUGAGACACUAAAGUAUAGUAUGGUGAGCCUGAAGUAUAGGCAAGGAUGAGGCCUUGCAUGUUGAGAUACUGAAGCAUAGGCAAAAUAUGAGGCCUUGUAUGGUAAGCCUUGUGGAAGCUUAUGCUUGUAUAUAGAUAAAAUAUUAAAAUUGCCUUUAAGUCCUUAAGUAAUUUCAUGCCUAGGUCCCUCAACUUUUGAUUUUGUACGUUUUGAUCCUUAGAUUUUUUCUUUUAUUUCAAUCAUACCGUUGAUAUAUUGCAUUCAUGAUCUUUAACUUUCGGAACAUCUACAUUUCAAUCCCAAAGUUCACAUUUUUGUACGCUUUUAGUCCUUUUCUCUUCUUUUGUGUUGUUCCCCUUCAAUUUGGAUUUUUUUUCACCUAAUGGGGUAUUGCAUAGGCAAUGAUGAAGCCUCAUACUCCAAGGAUGAAGCCUCUAAAUUAAUUCAUCAAAUAUUACCACAUCUUCAAGGUUGCCUAUUUUAUAGUCCCUUCUUUAGUGGCUUUCCAUUUGUAAAAUGAGUCUUCCAAUAGCCUCUUUACUAGAGACCUCCCUUUUUAGGGGGUUUUCUUGUUCAAUGAGGCUUCCUCAACAGUCUCCCCUUUUCUAGAGGUCUUACUUAUUCAUGGCCUCUUCUUUAGAGGCCUCCUCCUUUCUAAGGAGCCUGGUUCAAGGCCACUUCUUUAGUGACCUCCCCAUUUUAACGGGAUCUUCUUAUUCGUAGCCUCUUCUUUAGAGGCCUCCCAUUCUUAGUUAUUCAAGGCCAUUUCUUCAGUGGCAUCGCCUUCUAGGAUGGCCUUUUUUUCAUGGCCUCUUCUUUAGAGGCCUCUUCCCUUUUUAAGUGGUCUGAUUCAUGGCCACUUCUUCCUAUUUCCUUGCAUUUGGAGCUGUUGUACAAGGCAUGUUUCUAUAUGAUGCUUCCCAUGUUGGUAGCCAUUCAACUACUUCCCGAGUGAGUUGGGUAAUUACUCUCAUUCCACCUCGUCUAUGCUAGUGAUGAGGUCGGUGAUGACCCACUGGGAAAGGUCUCCAAGAGAUAACUUCCUCCUUCUUCAGGGGUCUUCCUAACCCUUCUAAAUGGGACUUCCUCACUGCUUGAAAUCAUUUUUCUGUACAAAUCUUUUCUUCAAAGAUAUGGGGAUCAUACAAAUGGAAUUCUAUCUCAAUAUAUCCUUUUUCAAGAAAUAUCAACAAUCCAAGUAUAGACGUAAGCUCCAAAUCUCUUUCUUGGGCUUCCACUUGUUCUUUCUUCAAGAACAAAUCCUUUUGCAAGGGAGAUACCCAACUCGCUAAUGGCAAGCUUUUUCCAUGGGACGUGGUUAUAGUGUGACUCCCCAUAGAUGGUGCCAAUAUGUUGACAUCAAAAAAAUUUGUGAACAGAUGUCCGGUUCCAUUGAGGUCUAUGUAGACAAAUUCCAACACGUAUGGACGGGUUGCUAGUCGACAAUACUUCGAAUUUGGACAUGGAAGAAGCUUUAUGACAUAAGAAAAAUAUGUUCAGACUCGAGUAAUAUUUUUCAAGAACGAUUGUACAGUAAUUAACAAAUGAUAGACAACUCUAAGAAAUCAAAGUAUUCAAAAUUCAAGUUAAGCAAGUGUAUCAAUAACUAGAAAGAAGACAAAGAGUAGUUUUUGGUGUCAAGAGUUGCAUUCCCCCUCAAAUGAUACAAAAAUGGGGUAUUUAUAGUGUGACACAUGAGAUGGUGUCCAUUAGAUGAGGAGCUACCUGGCUUCAUCUCCUCAACCAAACCAUCUAAUCGUAUCCAUCAUUUUGACUUCCUAACCUAUGACACAUUUGAUGUUCUUACACAUAUGAUAUGAUCCAAGAUGAGGGAGCCACGAAAGCAAGUUCAAAUCAAGACCCAUUGAGAAUUGAAGGUGGACCGAUGACACGUUCGAGGGCAAAGCAGGUAAAUCAAGUGAUGGGAAAACUUGUUCAAUCAACUAUUGAAGGGACGAUGUUCAAGAUGCAAAAUGAGGCAACUUUUAUGUUGGGUCGAGAGCGGAAUCGAAAUGGAUCAACAUAAUAGAAGCGGACGAAGUUGGAGCUGAAAUUCAAUGAUAUGCGAUUGACUGCAUAGCACAUCCUGGCAUGCGGUCGCAUAGACCCAUGUAGGAAAAUUUUUAGGUAGCAACAACUCUUCUAUGCAACCGCAUAGAAAUACUCUAUGUGGCCGCAUAGUACAAAAUUUGGGACGUGUUUUCAAUUUUUGGCAACUUUUCUAAUUUCCAUAAAAAUUUGAUUCUAAUUAUUAUUUUUCGAUAUUUGAAGCAUAAUUUUCGUCGAAGACAAUAUCUUUUAGGAUUAGUAUAAAUACUUUCUCCUAUUGAUUGAGAAUUAAUUUGAGAGGCAAUUCUUGCUUUCCAAACUUUGUCCUUCUUAGAACAAUUUUUGAACUUAUCAAGAUGCUUCCUUGUAGCGUUCAAAAUUCGGGUGUGAGUCUUUGGUUGCAUGAUCAAGAGGUCCUUCAUAUUACUAUUAUUAUGGGAUUGCUUGGUUCGUCAUCUUGGGAUUCAAAUCCAUAAAUCGGGGUUAAUUCUUGGCUUUCUUGGGGUUCAACGGUCUUUUAUGGGUUCGUUAGUGAUCGUGCUGACCGGAUUUGCAUCAGUUGGUAUUGGAGCAUAGGCUCCAAAUUAAUUGAGAUUAUACAUUUUUAUUAUCUCAAGUCUUUAAAAUUUUGUUCUUUCUAUUUUCCGCGUUAUUCUUUUGUUCCGUGUCUUGUUAUUGUUGUUAUUUGAUUCCUAGACCAUGAGUCAAUCGUUAAUUCGUUAAAAAAUUUUUAUUUGCUAGUAAUUAGUUAAUCUUCUUGCAAGAGAGAGAGAGAUUCAAAAAUUCAAAAAAAAAUAAAUUGUUCUAUUAUUUUCUAAUUUAGUACCAGCACAUUCAUAAUUUUCCUUCAGUCAUAUUUGUGUUAAUACAUAAAUUUCAUUCAUCAAUUUGUGAAUCAUGUUACCUUUCCAUUCAAAAUUUUCAUUUCCAUUGUGUCAAAUUCCUGUUAUUAUCAUAACUCUUGAACGCAUCCGAUUUAGAAUUCCACAAGGUUAAAUCCUGUUGAGUUAACUUUGUUCUUUGAGCCACUUGGACGAAAGCACUGAGUGGUAAAAGGCAGAGAUGUGCGAUCAAUAGAGGGUAAAAGCCUUAUUGUGAGAUUCCGAGUGAAAUAUUGGUAAGGCAGAAAAAUAAUUAAAUAAAUUUUAGAUUUAAGAUGUCUGACAGAGAAGGUUCCAAUUCAAACCGUAACGACAAUCACAUUAAUGCACAGAAUGAUAUGAUGAGGCAAUUUAAGAGGUUGUUUACGGAUAUAGUGGAUAGGUUAAAUAGGCUUGAUACAUUGGUUAAGAAUCUUAGUAUGAGGCAAUGGGCUGAAAUACCUCACGCUAGGAGACCAGGUAGACUAAAACCUAGGAUGGAAAGGCGGGAGGCGUAUGAUUACGAUAGUAAACUGGAUGAGAAUGAAUACAAUAAAGUGUUUUAGGUGCUUGGGAUCGGGACACAUCGCUUCUCAGUGUUCGAACAAACGAGCGAUGGUGUUGAGGGACAAUGGAAAGGUUGUAAGUGAAAGCAAAAGUGAAUAUGAUGACAUGCCGGAGUUAGAGGAAAUUAACGAUGGAGAGAUAGUGGAAUAUGUUGUGGGAGAAUUGUUGGUCACGAGAUGAGCUCUUAACACUCAAAUCAAGGCGGAUGACUUGGAGCAACGGCAGGAAAAUAUAUUCCACACUCGAUCUCAUGUUAAUAAUAAGGUGUGUAGUUUGAUCAUCAACUGUGGGAGUUGUACAAAUGUGGCUAGCACAACUUUGGUGGAGAAAUUGGGAUUAACUCUAUUAAAACACCCUAAACCUUAUAGGCUUCAAUGGUUGAAUGAUUGUUGAGAAAUCAAAGUAAAUAGGAGGGUUUUGAUAAAUUUCUCAAUUGGGAAUUAUCAUAAUGAAGUGGUAUGUGAUGCGGUACCUAUGCAUGCGGGACAACUGUUGCCGGGGUGACCAUGGCAAUACGACAGAAAGAUUGUUUACGAUGGAUACAAGAAUCGAUACAGCUUUAUCAAAGAUGGGAUAUCCAUUACCCUUGCACCAUUAGCAGACCAAAUUAAAUUGAAAAAUGAAGAAGAGAGAAGAGCUAGAGAAAAAGAGAGAAAACAAUGAGACAAUGAGUAAGAGAGAAAAUAGUGAGGGGCGAGUCGAGAGAAAAAGAGAAUAGAGCCCCAAGAGCAAAAAAGAAAAAGAGUCUUCUGUGAGGAGAGAAAAGUCAAGAGCGAAUUUUUUUGCAAAAGAGAGUGAGUUGAGAAGAGCAACAGUCGAGAUGGGGAAAAUGAUUUUGUUGAUCUACAAAGAGUCACUCCUCAGUUUUAAGGAAUCUAACCCAUCCCUCCCCAAUUUGGCUAAUUCUUCAUUACAAGAGUUCGAGGAUAUAUUUCCAGAGGACGUGCCUAGUGGGUUACCACCCAUUCGAGAUAUUGAGCACCAGAUCGACUUCAUACCUGGAGCUGUCAUUCCAAACCGACCAAUUUACCGGAGCAAUCUUGAGGAGACAAAGGAACUUCAGAGGCAAGUUGCGGAGUUGAUAAGCAAGGGUUAUUCAGGAAGAGCAUAAGUUCGUGUACUGUACUAGUUCUGUUAGUGCCAAAGAAAGAUGGAACAUGGAGGAUGUGCGUGGAUUGCAGAGCCAUCAAUAACAUAAUGGUAAAGUAUUGUCACCCUAUCCCUAGGUGAGAUGAUAUGCUUGAUGAAUUAUAUGGUGCAUGCAUAUUUAGUAAAAUUAAUAUUAAGAGUGGUUACCAUUAAAUUAGAAUGAGGGAAGGAGUGGAAAACUGCAUUUAAAACUAAAUACGGAUUGUAUGAGUGGUUCAUUCCAUUUGGACUCACCAAUGCACCGAGCACUUUCAUGCGUUUGAUGAAUCAUGUUUUACGUGCUUUUAUAAGAAAAUUUUCGUCGUGAUGUAUUUUGAUAAUAUUUUAGUGUAUAGCAAAAAUCUAAAUGAGCAUGUAGAGCAUUUAAGAAAAGUGCUUGCAGUAUUAAGGAAAGAACAACUGUAUGCUAAUUUUAAGAAACGUACAUUUUGCAUGGAAAAGGUUGUCUUUCUAGGAUUUGUGGUUAGUGCCAAUGGAGUAGAGGUUGAUGAGGAUAAGAUAAAAGCUAUUAAGGAGUGGCCUACACCUAAGAGUAUAGCCGAAGUAAGGAGUUUUAAUGGAUUGGCUAGUUUCUAUAGGCGAUUUGUGAAAGAUUACACCACUCACUAAGGUAGUAAAGAAGAGCAUAGAUUUUCAUUGGGAUAGUAAGCAGGAGCAAGCAUUUAAUACAAUUAAAGAUCAAUUAUGUAAAGCACCUAUUUUAGCUUUACCUAAUUUUGACAAAACAUUCGAGAUUGAGUGUGAUGCCUCAGGAAUAGCGAUUGGAGCAAUAUUGAUGCAGGACAACAGGCCAAUGGCUUAUUUUAGUGAGAAGCUGAGUGGAGCCGCUCUUAACUACCCUACGUAUGACAAAGAGUUGUACUCACUUGUUCGAAUUUUGGAGACUUGGCAGCAUUACUUGUGGCCUAAGGAAUUUGUAAAACACACUGAUCAUAUGUCUCUCAAACAUUUGCAGGGUCAAAAAAACUGAACAAGAGGCAUGUAAGGUAGAUAGAAUUUAUAGAAACAUUCCCCUAUGUCAUUCGCUAUAAGCAAGGUAAAGAUAAUGUGGUGGCAGAUGCUUUGUCUCGCAGGUAUGUGUUACUAACUUCUCAUAGUUCUAAAUUACUUGGUUUUGAGCACAUUAAAGAUAUGUAUGUGAAUGGCUUGGAUUUUUCUGAUGUGUAUAAAUCAUGUAAUAAGGGGUCUAUAGACAAGUUCUUUAGGAAUGAGGGGUACUUGUUUCGCGAAAAAGUUGUGUAUUCCUAAGUGUUCGAUGCGAGAAUUGCUAGUAAGAGAGGCAUAUAGCGGUGGAUUGAUGGGACACUGUGGGGUUAAGAAAACUUUAGAAAUGUUAAAGGAGCAUUUUUAUUAGCCUAAAAUGAAAAGUGACAUUGAACGGAUAUUUAGCCAAUGCAUAACUUGUAAGGAGGCUAAAUCUAAGGUUUUACCUCGAGGGUUGUACACACCGUUACCUACUCCUAGUGAACCUUGGAUUUUGUGUUGGAUUUACCUAGGAAUAAGAGUGAACGGGAUUCUAUUUUUGUGGUGGUAGAUAGGUUUAGUAAGAUAGUGCAUUUCAUACCGUGUCAUAAAACUGAUGAUGCCGCUCACAUAGCAAAUUUGUUCUUUAAAGAGAUAGUGCGUUUGCAUAGGAUCCCUGGGAAUAUCAUGUCAAACAGGGAUGUAAAAUUUUUGAGUCAUUUUUGGUGGCUUUUGUGGGGUAAAUUAGGCACGAAAUUAUUAUUUUCCACAACAUGUCACCCACAAACCAAGGGACAAACUGAGGUGGUCAAUAGGACCAUGACUCAAUUAUUACGCACUGUAAUAAAUAAAAACUUGAAGAGUUGGGAAGAGUGCCUAUCUUUUGUUGAAUUUGCAUAUAAUAGAGCUAUAGAUUUUACUACUUCGUUCUCACCUUUUGAAAUCAUUUAUGGGCUUAACCCACUAACUUCCUUGGAUUUGUUACCUUUACCGAUGAAUGAACGAGAUAGUUUGGAUGGUAAGAGAAAAACUGAGUUGGUAAAGUCAUUCCACGAGAAGAUCAAGAUGUAAAUUAAAGAAAGGAGUAAGCUUAUUGCAUCAAAGGCAAACAAAGGAAGAAAGCGCGUGACAUUUAAACCAGGUGAUUGGGUACAUUUUAGAAAUGAGCGUUUUCCAGAGCAGAGAAAGUCUAAGUUGCAGGCAUGGGAAGAUGGUCCGUUUCAAGUCAUCGAAAAUAUCAACGAUAAUGCAUACAAAGUGGAUAUUUCAGGUGAGUAUAAUGUUUCAACUACAUUUAAUGUGUCUGGUCUCUUUCUUUUUGAUGCAGGUGCAGAUCCGAGGACGAAUCAUUUUGAAGAGAGAGAGGAUGAUAUGAUCCAAGAUGUGAGAGUCACGAAGACAAGUCCGAAUCAAGACCUGCUGAGUAUUGAAGGUGGACCAUAACACGUUCGAGGGCAAAGCGGGUAAAUCAAGCAAUGAGACUACUUGUUCAAUCUACUAUUGAAGGAACGAUGUUCAAGAUGCAAAACGAGGCAACUUUCAUGUUGGGGUCGAGAGCGGAAUCGAAAUGGAUCAACGUAAUAGAAGCGGACGAAGUUGGAGCUAAAAUUCAGUACUAUGCAGUUGGCUUGCAGUCAUAUAGACCCAUGUAGGGAAAUUUUUGGGCAACAACAACUCUUCCAUGCUACCGCAUAGAAACACUCUAUGCGGCCGCAUAUUACAAAAUUUGUGACGCGUUUUCUAUUUUUGGGAAUUCUUCUGGUUUCCAUAAAAUUUGAUUCUAAUUAUUAUUUUUGGGUAUUUGGAGCAUAAUUUCCAUCCAAGACAAUAUUUUUUAGGAUUAGUAUAAAUAUUUUCUCCUAUUGAUUGUAAGAACAACUUUGACAUUAUUGAGAAUUAAUUUAAA
rnacentral:lncRNA from 1 species